UGCAUAAUUUCUUUAAUUGGUCUGUGUACUUGCAAACAAUUUCACUGAAAUCAUAGUGCACAGUUGCUUUCACAUACGCAUGGAAAUGAAGCUAGAAAUGAAGCAGAAAACAAUAUACAAUAUACAUUGUUGGUUUUAUUUUUUUUCUUAAUUUGGCUCCUAUAUCAUCCUCAGUUUCUGAGGUGAGCAUGUGGAGACUGAUUUUUCACUGUAGUUUCUGUGACUCGGUACGUUUGCCUCAGGGAGCCAAUUAUAGGGCAGAAAUAAAGCAAUUCCCGAUUUUCAUGCAGGAUUUUCAUCAUCCUGUAAGUGAAAAGCAUAAGAAGAGCCGAUACUAAUUUCUUGCCAAUAAAUGCUUCUCAAAGGCAUGAAGAGUGCUGGCUAACAAUACCAACGCACCUAUGAAUUAAGAGUUGUAUCCAAGGUUGUCAGUGGAAACGUGCUUCAGGAUUUAAAAGGCUAUCCUCGCAAAAGCCUUCAUCAGCAGAAAGGUGCCUGUGGUGCUCAAUGUGGCAGCUGACUCUAAUCAGUACCUUACCUAUACACUGAAGGGCUGGAAGAAAAGGCUUUCAAUGAAAAAGCUAUGGAGGCAGGGGAUGCUGACAGUUAUUACCGUUAUAUGCAUUAUGGAGCUAAGAUGUUCAGGGCCUUUUGGCAGGAUAACUUCGAGAAAUACUAAAUUACGUAUGUAAACAUACGCUGGAACUAGUUACGUUAAACUUCAUCUCCAAGGAGGCAAUCAAACUUGGAAGUGGAGAAAGGGGCGCUGUGCAGUGCCGUGGUGCUUACC